rnacentral:rRNA from 1 species
GACAGAGGGGGCAAGCGUUGUCCGGAAUUACUGGGCGUACAGCGCACGCAGGUGGCGCACUAAGUGCCGUGUGAAAGCCCCGCGCUUAACGCGGGGAGGCCAGGGCAGACUGGUGGGCUCGAGGGAUGUAGAGGGUGGUGGAAUUGCCGGUGUAGUGGUGAAAUGCGUAGAGAUCGGCAGGAACACCAAGGGCGAAGGCAGCCACCUGGGCAUCACCUGACACUCAUGUGCGACAGCGUGGGGAGCGAACCGG